rnacentral:lncRNA from 1 species
CCAGAUGCCUUCUUCAGUUGGUCUUAAUUCCUCCUUCGUCUUCACUCUAUUCCAAUUAACAUUAUGGUUUUCCCUCUAUAAUUUAAAUCCACCUAAUCUACCUAUACAUGAUAAAUAUAAAUACUAAGAUCAUCUUAUUUCUCUUCAAUAGUCUCCCAUCUCCUCCUGAGAAAACUUCAAACCCUAAGUUGUGUGUUCAGAAUCUUCCACCAUGUGGCAAACUGCUACUUGGCUGCCUAACCACAGAGCAUCUAUUUUUGGCGGAUGAGAGAGGAGGGCAGGAAGGAAACAGGCUCAGAUAAAAGUCUACCUUUCCCACCAUUCCUGCCUUUUCAUCUACCUAAAGAACAGAAACAGAAGUCUCCCUCUUUUUUUUUUUUUUUUUCCUGUUCUUCCUAUAUUUCUCCUUUAUUAUCCUAAAGAGGGAGGGUUCUAGAAGAGAAAAAAUGCUCGAUCGUGAUCUUAAAUCCAGACAUUACUCUCCAGGUCCUCAUUUAGGGCUGCUUAUAGAACAUCUGCAUGUGAAUUUCUUAGAUACUUUAGAUGUAACAUCUACAAAAUACUUAUCUCCUCUUCCCCUCCACCUCUGCCAAUCUCCCUGUGCUCCCUAGCACUUUGAAGGGGCCUCCUAUGAACCCAGUCCUCUAAACCAGAACCUUAGGUAUCACAUUCAGCUCCUCCAUCUCUCUCAUUGCUCAUCAAACCAUUACUUAAAUCCUAUAAAUUCCAUUUUCUGAACGUCUCUCAAACUCGUCUCUCACUGCCACUGCAUUAGUUCGGCCUUUCAUCAUCUCACUCCUGGUAACUUGUUAUUUUUCAUUUUUGUAACUAUUGAAAAAAACUUAAACAAAAUCAUAUCACUCCCUUGAAUAAAACCAUCAAGUGGUUUCUUAUUUUAUACAGUAAAAAUAAAAAUGUCUUAGCACAGUAUACAAGACCCUUUAUUCUAUAGCUCUUGUAUACCCCUCUAGCCUCAUCUCCUGCUGCAUCUUUUGAGUCUUUUGGGCACCAUCCGACUAUGGAGCUGUACUUCUCUGUACUUUUAGAUUUGCUCCUUCUCUCUUUUUGGGAAGCUCUUCUUCCCUUUGCCUGGAAGGUCUCUAUUAAUCCAUCAAGCUCAGAUAAAAUAUUAUCUCCUGACAGAAGAAUCUUUCACUUCCUAGCACGUAGUGUUCAGUGUUGCUCUGAAGAUUAACUGAGACAGCAUAUAUGAGCAUACCAACCGUGAAGCUCUAUUUAAACAUAUGAUACACUGUAAUAGCAAUUCAUCUGUUAAUUCCUAAUACAGGUGGUGGUUGAAACAUGAGACUAGAUAUAAUGGCCAAGGGACAAGUAGAGAGAGAAAGGACGAGAAUGGUAAAUCCUUGAGGAAUCAUCUAAGUUUAGAAAAAAAGGAAUUUGGGAGAGUGUAUUGUGCAAACCCCAGGAAAGUAAUAACUGUUUUAUUCAUUUUGGUACUUUGAAGCAGCACUUAGGAUAUUAUCUUUAAAAAAGGUGUGGUGGAACUAAAAUAAUAAUCGUCAAGUGUUUUAUGUGUAUCUAACCCAGCUAAAAAGGAAUGUGACCCACAGUGCAAAUAAAAUAAUAAUAGGUUUCCAAUAUAUGCAUGUUGGUUGAAUUGCUUUAGAAAAUAUUAAUAUUUAAUUAAAUUGAUAAUUAUUCAUUUAUCUAUAUGUAAAUCCAUAUUUGAGUCUCUCUGCCUACUUAUCUAUGCAUCUAUCCAGGCAUCUAUCUAUCUAUCUAAUUUUUUGUUUUCGUAUUUGGGAUCUGUAGUAGAUAGCUUUGGGGGAAUAUGCCUGGCUGACAAAUAAACAGCUCUCUGGUCUCUCGUAUAGUCAAAAGAAAUAGGUCUCUGGCUUGGUUGGAUAUUAGAACCUAGUAUCCAACCUGUUGCUUGGUUGAACAUUAGAACCUAGUGAGGCCAACUGGGUUUUUUUCUCCCAGAAAUUUGAAGUUGACAUGGAGAGUGUUGUGUCCAUUUUUCCAUGCUCCAGAAAAUUUAAUGUGUAAACUUUUCCCGUCAUGUUUAGCUUUGACCAUUUUCACUGUAUUCUAUGGAGGGUCAAAACUUUGUUUUCCUUGACACUGAUUUGUUUUUCUGUAGUGUUGAUUCUGUUAUUUUAUGUCCAGGGCAGAUUUUGAUUCUAUUAAUACAUUUUAUAUGUUUUAUUUUUCAGCUUUAGUGUUUCUGCUUUAUCUCACUUUAUUAUGUCCCUGCUUUAGUUCCAGAGGCCGCUUCUUUUAUCUUUUCCGAAGAUGCAAAAUAGCUGCCUUCUAAGAUUUUCUUCCGUUUCUUAUUUUUUAGAAAUAAAUGUUUCCUAUGAGUUUCUAGAGCAAUGCCUUCUUUCCUGGAUUUGCACAUUUUCUAUGCAUAGGUACAAUAUUGUUUUGUUGUUUUUCCCUACUUGGAGAGCACUAUUUGGUUCAAAAUUUUCCAACAGAGUUGAGUUUGUAUUUCCUUUAGAUUCUUUCGCUGUUCACUUGGGCACUGGUAAUUUCUCUUAGACCUAGCUUUAAAGGACACAUAGAUAUGCCUAGCCAUUAGUUCAGUCUACUUUCUUGUAGAAAGACAACAUAUAAUUCCAGGGAGUUCCCAUCGUGGUGCAGUGGAAACGAAUCAGACUAGGAAUCAAGAGGUUGCGAGUUCGAUCCCUGGCCUCACAAGUGGGUUAAGAAUCUGGCGUUGCCGUGAGCUGUGGUGUAGGUCGCAGAUGGGGCUUGGAUCCUAUGUUGCUGUGACUCUGGCAUAGGCCAGCGGCUACAGCUCCCAUUGGACCCCAGCCUGGGAACCUCCAUAUGCCAAGGGUGUGGCCCUAAAAUAUAUAUAUAUAUAUGUGUGUGUGUGUGUAUAUAUAAUGUGUGUAUAUGUGUGUGUGUGUGUGUGUGUGUGUGUGACAUACAUGUCAUAAUUUUGUUUUUGUUUUUUGGGUAUUUUUUGCUUUGAGGGCUGCAUCUAUGGCAUAUGGAAGUUCCCAGGCUAGGGCUCAAUUGCAGAUGCAGCUUCCAGCCUACACCACAGCCACAGCAAUGCAGGAUCCCAGUUGCAACUGCUUCUACACCACAGCUCAUGGCACUGCGAGAUCCCUGACGCACUGAGUGAGGCCAGGGAUCAAACCCACAUCCUCAUGCAUACUAGUCGGGUUCAUUUCCACUGUGCCACAGUGGGAACUCCCAUAAUUUUGAAAUUAUUUAAAUUUGAUUAAUCAUUUAGAGGAUAGUAAUGAUUGUAAUUUGGAAAUCCUUUUUAAUGAUCCAUAAAAUGUUGAAAAAAAUAUAUAUAAAAUCUAUAAGCAAAAAAAAGUUCAGUUAACUCAGAACAGGAAAAAAAAAAAUGUUUCCUAAUUACCCCCUAUUACCAUUUAGGUAAGAAGAAGUACUGGAUUAAAUAGUAUCCCCUCAAAAUUCAUGUCCAUCCAGAAACUUAGACUGUGACCUUAUCUGGAAGUAGGUUCUUUGCAGGUUAAGAUGUGUUCAUAAUGGAUUAGAGUAGGCCCUAAAUCCAAAAUAACUGGUGUCCUUUUAAGAUCAAAGACUCAGAGACCAAGAGAGACACACAGGGGAAUGUCAGGUGACUAUGGAGGCUGUUGGGCUGGACCCUCACAAGCCUACAAGGCCCCAUGCUUGCCCAGCUUCAAGGCAGAAGAAAGAGGCCAGAGGCAGCAUCAGAGAUAUGAAUGGCUUAAUGGAUGAGGGAAUUUACAUGUCUGAAGGCCCCCCCCCCCACCAAUGUGACGCAGAUGGCGGUGGUCAGGGCGAGAACAGCCAUUUGGAGCAGCCUGACCACAAAGAGUCAGAGAUUGGGGUUACGCACAAACCAAAAGAAUGGCAGGGAUUUCCAGCAACCACCAGAAGCUAGAAGAGGGGCUUGGAGCAGAUUCUUCCUCAGAGCCCCAGAAAGAACCAACCCUAGUGACCACCUUGACUUCAGACCUCUGGCCUGCAGAACUGUGUGAAAGAAUACAUUUUUGGUGUUGUAAGCCACCCAUUCUGUGGUACCUUGUUACUGCAGCCCUAGGAAAUUAAUAGAUAGGAUAACUGCAUUUAAUUAUAGCAUUCAAAAGACAGAUUUACAAUAAAGAAUAUUCUGGCAUGGAGAUAAUAGAUAAAAUUUUCUUUUCUACAAAUAGUCAUCUCUCAUCUUUUUUUUUUUUUUCUGUGAAAAUCACUUGAUUUUAAAUUAAGAGACAUUGAUUCAAAAACCAACUUUGCUACUCAAUUAGAUGUGGUCUUGGGAAAAUCUAAGUUCUCUUCAGGACUUGAUUUCCUCAUUUAUAAAUUGAGGAAGACUAAAACUCUACCUAAAAGUAUAGCACUAUGGCUCAAAAAUUUGAAAUAUUGAGCAUCCACAAAAUUCCAGAUAGUAAAUUAAUAGAGAUAAUUUGGGAAUGGCUCAGAGGAAAACGAACCUGACUAGCAUCCAUGAGGACACAGGUACGAUCCCUGGCCUCUCUCAGUGGGUUAAGGAUCCAGCAUUGAGUGAGCUGUGGUGUGGGUUGCAGGUGCAGCUUGGAUCCUGCAUCGCUGUGGUAUAGCCCUGUGGCUAUAGCUCCGACUGGACCCCUAGCCUGGGAUCCUCCAUAUGC